GACGAACGCUGGCGGCGUGCUUAACACAUGCAAGUCGAACGGAAAGGCCCUGCUUUUGUGGGGUGCUCGAGUGGCGAACGGGUGAGUAACACGUGAGUAACCUGCCCUUGACUUUGGGAUAACUUCAGGAAACUGCGGCUAAUACCGGAUAGGAGCUCCUGCUGCAUGGUGGGGGUUGGAAAGUUUCGGCGGUUGGGGAUGGACUCGCGGCUUAUCAGCUUGUUGGUGGGGUAGUGGCUUACCAAGGCUUUGACGGGUAGCCGGCCUGAGAGGGUGACCGGCCACAUUGGGACUGAGAUACGGCCCAGACUCCUACGGGAGGCAGAAGUGGGGAAUAUUGCACAAUGGGCGGAAGCCUGAUGCAGCAACGCCGCGUGCGGGAUGACGGCCUUCGGGUUGUAAACCGCUUUCGCAUGUGACGAAGCGUGAGUGACGGUAAUGGGUAAAGAAGCACCGGCUAACUACGUG
rnacentral:rRNA from 1 species